AGUGAACGCUGGCGGUAGGCCUAACACAUGCAAGUCGAACGGCAGCACAGUAAGAGCUUGCUCUUACGGGUGGCGAGUGGCGGACGGGUGAGGAAUACAUCGGAAUCUACUUUUUCGUGGGGGAUAACGUAGGGAAACUUACGCUAAUACCGCAUACGACCUACGGGUGAAAGCAGGGGAUCUUCGGACCUUGCGCGAUUGAAUGAGCCGAUGUCGGAUUAGCUAGUUGGCGGGGUAAAGGCCCACCAAGGCGACGAUCCGUAGCUGGUCUGAGAGGAUGAUCAGCCACACUGGAACUGAGACACGGUCCAGACUCCUACGGGAGGCAGCAGUGGGGAAUAUUGGACAAUGGGCGCAAGCCUGAUCCAGCCAUACCGCGUGGGUGAAGAAGGCCUUCGGGUUGUAAAGCCCUUUUGUUGGGAAAGAAAGGCAGCAGGUUAAUACCCCGCUGUUCUGACGGGACCCAAAGAAUAAGCACCGGCUAACUUCGU
rnacentral:rRNA from 1 species